rnacentral:rRNA from 1 species
UACAGAGGUCUCAAGCGUUGUUCGGAUUCAUUGGGCGUAAAGGGUGCGUAAGUGGCGCGGUAAGUCGGGUGUGAAAUUUCGGAGCUUAACUCCGAAACUGCAUUCGAUACUGCCGUGCUUGAGGACUGGAGAGGAGACUGGAAUUUACGGUGUAGCAGUGAAAUGCGUAGAGAUCGUAAGGAAGACCAGUGGCGAAGGCGGGUCUCUGGACAGUUCCUGACACUGAGGCACGAAGGCCAGGGGAGCAAACGGG